AGAGCUCGGGUUCUGGAGUUGGAGAGACCAAAGUUCACAGCUGAGCCCAGCUGCUGCUUAGCUGAUUGGCCUUGGGCUCAUAGGCAGAAGAGACUUCCUUUAUCUCAAAUGAGACUUUGGACUUUUGAGUUAAUGCUGGAAUGAGUUAAGACUUUCGGGGACUGUUUGGAAGGCAUGAUUAUAUUUUCCAAUGUAAGAAGGACAUGAGAUUUAAGAGGGGCCAGGGGUGAAAUGAUGUGAUUUGAAGCUGUGUGUCCACCCAAAGCUCAUGUGGAAUUGUAAUACCCGGUGUUGGAGGGGGAUCCUGGUGGGAGGUGAUUGGAUUGUGGAGGUGGAUUUCCCUGUUGGUGCCGUUCUUGUGACAGUGAGUGAGUUCCCAUGAGAUCUGGUUGUUUAAAAGUGUGUGGCACCUCCCCUACUCUUCCUCUUGCUAUGGCCAUGUGAAGUGCUUGCUCCUCCUUUGCCUUUGGCCAUGAUUGUAAGUUUCCUGAGGCCUCCCUAGAAGCAGAUGCUACUGUGCUUCCUGUACAGCCUGCA
rnacentral:lncRNA from 1 species